rnacentral:rRNA from 1 species
GAUGAACGCUGGCGGCGUGCCUAAUACAUGCCAGUCGAGCGAACGGACGAGAAGCUUGCUUCUCUGAUGUUAGCGGCGGACGGGUGAGUAACACGUGGAUAACCUACCUAUAAGACUGGGAUAACUUCGGGAAACCGUAGCUAAUACCGGAUAAUAUUUUGAACCGCAUGGUUCAAAAGUGAAAGACGGUCUUGCUGUCACUUAUAGAUGGAUCCGCGCUGCAUUAGCUGGUUGGUAAGGUAACGGCUUACCAAGGCAACGAUGCAUAGCCGACCUGAGAGGGUGAUCGGCCACACUGGAACUGAGACACGGUCCAGACUCCUACGGGAGGCAGCAGUAGGGAAUCUUCCGCAAUGGGCGAAAGCCUGACGGAGCAACGCCGCGUGAGUGAUGAAGGUCUUCGGAUCGUAAAACUCUGUUAUUAGGGAAGAACAUAUGUGUAAGUAACUGUGCACAUCUUGACGGUACCUAAUCAGAAAGCCACGGCUAACUACGUGC